rnacentral:rRNA from 1 species
UGAGGAAUAUUGGUCAAUGGGCGUAAGCCUGAACCAGCCAAGUAGCGUGAGGGAAGACUGCCCUAUGGGUUGUAAACCUCUUUUGUGCGGGGAUAAAGUGAGGGACGUGUCCCUUAUUGCAGGUACCGCACGAAUAAGGACCGGCUAAUUCCGUGCCAGCAGCCGCGGUAAUACGGAAGGUCCGGGCGUUAUCCGGAUUUAUUGGGUUUAAAGGGAGCGCAGGCCGUCCUUUAAGCGUGCUGUGAAAUGCCGCGGCUCAACCGUGGCACUGCAGCGCGAACUGGAGGACUUGAGUACGCACGAGGUAGGCGGAAUUCGUGGUGUAGCGGUGAAAUGCUUAGAUAUCACGAAGAACUCCGAUUGCGAAGGCAGCUUACCGGAGCGCAACUGACGCUGAGGCUCGAAAGCGCGGGUAUCGAACAGGAUUAGAUACCCUGGUAGUCCGCGCGGUAAACGAUGGAUGCCCGCCGUUGGGAUUUGGAUUUCAGCGGCCAAGCGAAAGCGUUAAGCAUCCCACCUGGGGAGUACGCCGGCAACGGUGAAACUCAAAGGAAUUGACGGGGGCCCGCACAAGCGGAGGAACAUGUGGUUUAAUUCGAUGAUACGCGAGGAACCUUACCCGGGCUUGAAUUGCAGGAGAACGAUCCAGAGAUGGUGAGGCCCUUCGGGGCUCCUGUGAAGGUGCUGCAUGGUUGUCGUCAGCUCGUGCCGUGAGGUGUCGGCUCAAGUGCCAUAACGAGCGCAACCCCUGUCCAUAGUUGCCAUCAGGUCGUGCUGGGCACUCUGUGGAGACUGCCGCCGUAAGGUGUGAGGAAGGUGGGGAUGACGUCAAAUCAGCACGGCCCUUACGUCCGGGGCUACACACGUGUUACAAUGGGGCAUACAGCGAGUUGGAUGUGCGCAAGUACGUCCGGAUCAAUAAAGUGCCUCUCAGUUCGGACUGGGGUCUGCAACCCGACCCCACGAAGCUGGAUUCGCUAGUAAUCGCGCAUCAGCCAUGGCGCGGUGAAUACGUUCCC